GGCCCUAUCGUCUAGCGGUUAGGACGCCGCCCUCUCACGGCGGAAACCCGGGUUCGAUUCCCGGUAGGGUCACCA
rnacentral:tRNA from 1 species